AGAGAGAGACAUGCGCGCAUAUCAAUAAGCGGAGGAAAAGAAACUAACUAGGAUUCCCUUAGUAACGGCGAGUGAAGCGGGAAGAGCUCAAAUUUGAAAUCUUCAAGGUUUUACCUUGACGAAUUGUAGUUUAAAGAAGUGUUUUCUGCUGAAGUUUUGGUAAAAGUUCUUUGGAAUAGGACAUCAUAGAGGGUGAGAAUCCCGUAUUUGACCAUUAUUUUCAGCUUUGUGAUACACUUUCAAAGAGUCGGAUUGUUUGGGAAUGCAGUCCAAAAUGGGUGGUAAAUUUCAUCUAAAGCUAAAUAUUGGCGAGAGACCGAUAGCGAACAAGUACCGUGAGGGAAAGAUGAAAAGAACUUUGAAAAGAGAGUUAAACAGUACGUGAAAUUGUCAAAAGGGAAGCGUUUGACACCAGUGUUGUUUUCUCGAAAAUCAAUUAAAAAUGGCUCGAUUUUGUAUUGUUGAGACCUUAAAAGCUCACUGUACAUUUUUCGUGUCUUUUUUAAUGCACUUUUCGUUUAACAAGUCAACAUCAGUUUCUUUUGUUGUAAAAGGGUCAUUGGAAGGUAGCUUUCUUUUCGGAGAAAGUGUUUAUAGCCUUUGGCCUCUGCAAUCGAGAGACUGAGGUCUGCAGCGUAGACUCUUCGGGGUUAGAUACAUUUGUGCUAAGUUAUAGCUUUUUAUAGACAACUUGUUGACUAUAAUUAGUCUUGUAGCUUACUCGCUUAUGCUAUUUUACCUACGCUUAGGAUGUUGAGUCGUAGAGCACGCAG
rnacentral:rRNA from 1 species